rnacentral:rRNA from 1 species
GGGAAACUGCCCGAUGGAGGGGGAUAACUACUGGAAACGGUAGCUAAUACCGCAUAACGUCGCAAGACCAAAGUGGGGGACCUUCGGGCCUCACACCAUCGGAUGUGCCCAGAUGGGAUUAGCUAGUAGGUGGGGUAAUGGCUCACCUAGGCGACGAUCCCUAGCUGGUCUGAGAGGAUGACCAGCCACACUGGAACUGAGACACGGUCCAGACUCCUACGGGAGGCAGCAGUGGGGAAUAUUGCACAAUGGGCGCAAGCCUGAUGCAGCCAUGCCGCGUGUAUGAAGAAGGCCUUCGGGUUGUAAAGUACUUUCAGCGGGGAGGAAGGCGGUGGAGUUAAUAGCUUCACCGAUUGACGUUACCCGCAGAAGAAGCACCGGCUAACUCCGUGCCAGCAGCCGCGGUAAUACGGAGGGUGCAAGCGUUAAUCGGAAUUACUGGGCGUAAAGCGCACGCAGGCGGUCUGUCAAGUCGGAUGUGAAAUCCCCGGGCUUAACCUGGGAACUGCAUUCGAAACUGGCAGGCUAGAGUCUUGUAGAGGGGGGUAGAAUUCCAGGU